UAGUCUCAGUUCGGAUUGGAGUCUGCAACCCGACUCCAUGAAGCUGGAUUCGCUAGUAAUCGCGCAUCAGCCACGGCGCGGUGAAUACGUUCCCGGGCCUUGUACACACCGCCCGUCAAGCCAUGGAAGUUGGGGGCGCCCGAAGUUGCCUAAGAAAUAAGGUACCUAAGGCGAAACCAAUGACUGGGGUGAAGUCGUAACAAGGUACC
rnacentral:rRNA from 1 species